AUUGAACGCUGGCGGCAUGCCUUACACAUGCAAGUCGAACGGUAACAGGUCUUCGGAUGCUGACAAGUGGCGAACGGGUGAGUAAUACAUCGGAACGUGCCUAGUAGUGGGGGAUAACUACUCGAAAGAGUGGCUAAUACCGCAUGAGAUCUACGGAUGAAAGCAGGGGAUCGCAAGACCUUGUGCUACUAGAGCGGCCGAUGGCAGAUUAGGUAGUUGGUGGGAUAAAAGCUUACCAAGCCGACGAUCUGUAGCUGGUCUGAGAGGACGAUCAGCCACACGGGGAAUGAGACACGGCCCAGACUCCUACGGGAGGCAGCAGUGGGGAAUUGUGGACAAUGGGCGAAAGCCUGAUCCAGCAAUGCUGCGUGCAGGAUGAAGGCCUUCGGGUUGUAAACUGCUUUUGUACGGAACGAAAAGCCCCGGGUUAAUACCCUGGGGUCAUGACGGUACCGUAAGAAUAAGCACCGGCUAACUACGUGCCAGCAGCCGCAGUAA
rnacentral:rRNA from 1 species